rnacentral:rRNA from 1 species
UACGAGGGGGGCGAGCGUUGUUCGGAAUUAUUGGGCGUAAAGGGUGCGUAGGCGGUUUGGUAAGUCUUUUGUGAAAUCUCUGGGCUCAACUCAGAGUCUGCAAGGGAAACUGCCGGGCUGGAGUGUGGGAGAGGUGAGUGGAAUUCCCGGUGUAGUGGUGAAAUGCGUAGAUAUCGGGAGGAACACCAGUGGCGAAGGCGACUACCUGGCCUGUUCUUGACGCUGAGGCGCGAAAGCUAGGGGAGCAAACGGG